rnacentral:rRNA from 1 species
AUUGAACGCUGGCGGCAUGCCUUACACAUGCCAGUCGAACGGCGGCACGGGUGCUUGCACCUGGUGGCGAGUGGCGAACGGGUGAGUAAUACAUCGGAACAUGUCCUGUAGUGGGGGAUAGCCCGGCGAAAGCCGGAUUAAUACCGCAUACGAUCUACGGAUGAAAGCGGGGGACCUUCGGGCCUCGCGCUAUAGGGUUGGCCGAUGGCUGAUUAGCUAGUUGGUGGGGUAAAGGCCUACCAAGGCGACGAUCAGUAGCUGGUCUGAGAGGACGACCAGCCACACUGGGACUGAGACACGGCCCAGACUCCUACGGGAGGCAGCAGUGGGGAAUUUUGGACAAUGGGCGAAAGCCUGAUCCAGCAAUGCCGCGUGUGUGAAGAAGGCCUUCGGGUUGUAAAGCACUUUUGUCCGGAAAGAAAUCCUUGGCCCUAAUACGGUCGGGGGAUGACGGUACCGGAAGAAUAAGCACCGGCUAACUACGUG